rnacentral:rRNA from 1 species
GACGAACGUUGGCGGCGUGCUUAACACAUGCAAGUCGAACGGAAAGGCCCUGCUUUUGUGGGGUGCUCGAGUGGCGAACGGGUGAGUAACACGUGAGUAACCUGCCCUUGACUUUGGGAUAACUUCAGGAAACUGGGGCUAAUACCGGAUAGGAGCUCCUGCUGCAUGGUGGGGGUUGGAAAGUUUCGGCGGUUGGGGAUGGACUCGCGGCUUAUCAGCUUGUUGGUGGGGUAGUGGCUUACCAAGGCUUUGACGGGUAGCCGGCCUGAGAGGGUGACCGGCCACAUUGGGACUGAGAUACGGCCCAGACUCCUACGGGAGGCAGCAGUGGGGAAUAUUGCACAAUGGGCGGAAGCCUGAUGCAGCAACGCCGCGUGCGGGAUGACGGCCUUCGGGUUGUAAACCGCUUUCGCCUGUGACGAAGCGUGAGUGACGGUAAUGGGUAAAGAAGCACCGGCUAACUACGUGCCAGCAGCCGCGGUGAUACGUAGGGUGCGAGCGUUGUCCGGAUUUAUUGGGCGUAAAGGGCUCGUAGGUGGUUGAUCGCGUCGGAAGUGUAAUCUUGGGGCUUAACCCUGAGCGUGCUUUCGAUACGGGUUGACUUGAGGAAGGUAGGGGAGAAUGGAAUUCCUGGUGGAGCGGUGGAAUGCGCAGAUAUCAGGAGGAACACCAGUGGCGAAGGCGGUUCUCUGGGCCUUUCCUGACGCUGAGGAGCGAAAGCGUGGGGAGCGAACAGUCUUAGAUACCCUGGUAGUCCACGCUGUAAACGGUGGGUACUAGGUGUGGGGUCCAUUCCACGGGUUCCGUGCCGUAGCUAACGCUUUAAGUACCCCGCCUGGGGAGUACGGCCGCAAGGCUAAAACUCAAAGGAAUUGACGGGGCCCCGCACAAGCGGCGGAGCAUGCGGAUUAAUUCGAUGCAACGCGUAGAACCUUACCUGGGUUUGACAUGGAUCGGGAGUGCUCAGAGAUGGGUGUGCCUCUUUUGGGGUCGGUUCACAGGUGGUGCAUGGCUGUCGUCAGCUCGUGUCGUGAGAUGUUGGGUUAAGUCCCGCAACGAGCGCAACCCUUGUUCACUGUUGCCAGCACGUUAUGGUGGGGACUCAGUGGAGACCGCCGGGGUCAACUCGGAGGAAGGUGGGGAUGACGUCAAGUCAUCAUGCCCCUUAUGUCCAGGGCUUCACGCAUGCUACAAUGGCUGGUACAGAGAGUGGCGAGCCUGUGAGGGUGAGCGAAUCUCGGAAAGCCGGUCUCAGUUCGGAUUGGGGUCUGCAACUCGACCUCAUGAAGUCGGAGUCGCUAGUAAUCGUAGAUCAGCAACGCUGCGGUGAAUACGUUCCCGGGGCU